GUGCUCGCUUUGGCAGCACGUAUACUAAAAUUGGAAUGAUACAGAGAAGAUUAACAUGGUCUCUAUGCAAGGAUGACAUGCAAAUUCACGAAGGGUUCCAUAUUUUU